AGAGAGAGAGAGAGAGAGAGAGAGAGAGAGAGAGAGAGAGAGAGAGAGAGAGAGAGAGAGAUAGAGAGAGAGAGAGAGAGAGAGAGAGAGUGAGAGAGAGAGAGAGAGAGAGAGAGAGAGAGAGAGAGAGAGAGAGAGAGAAAUUGUCCAUAUCACAAGCUCUCCCUUCCUGGGCCAUUCCUUUGAGAUCAGUUCCAACAAUAUCAGUCAGUCAGACCCCGUUCCCUACAUACGAGCUUGCUAUGAACCACUUUCACGGGUUAAUGGCUACACCCAACACAUUAAUUUAUUCUCUCCGUAAUAGUAUGACGCAAAUAGGCCAAGAAAAUAAGGAACCCGAAGUGAAGGAUGUGGAAUUCAACGAAGGCGAAAAACAGACUGCAUGCUGCCGGUGUCGAAGCCAUUCCCUUGAGAUCAGUUCCAACGCUAUCAGUCAGUCAGUCAGACACCGAUCCCUACAGCGGCUACGUCCAGUCAUAUUUAAGUUUGUCUCAGUAAUGGUAUGGCGGAAACAGGUCAGGAAACAGGGAAAUCGAGGUGAGGAAUGUGAAACUGAACGAAGGCAAGGAGAGAGAUGAGAAGCUGCGGCUUAUGAGUUACUAAUGAGCGAGCUAUUUUAGUCAUGGAGGGCUUGGAACACAUGUGAGAUUUGAACGAAGGCAAGAAGAGUUUAGAACAGGGGUUCUUAACCGGGAGUACCCCUUGGGGGUAUGAGAACCAAAUACUGGGGGUAUCGGACUCAAUAUCUGAAUAUUUUGAUAAAUUAUAUAUUAAAUAGGACUGGUGAUGAUGAUUUCGGCAGUCAAGCGAAGGGGGUACUGAGCAAUCCAAUGGGGGUCUGGGAUCACCUAAAGGUUAAGAGCCCCUGGUUUAGAAGCUGGCGUUGUUGGAGUUAGUGCUGAGCGAAGUGACAUUGUUGAGUAAGGGAGAGCUUGGAACACGACCAUGUGGAAUUGAACGAAGAAGAGUUUAGAAGCUUCCGUUGUUCAUGAGUUAGUAUUGGGUGGAGGGGUCUUGUGAUAUGUAACUUAACGAAGGCGAGAAAGGAGUAUAGAAGCUGCCGUUUAUGAGUUAGUACUGAGUGACAUAUUUCAGUCAGGGAGAACUUGGAACACGACCAUGUGGAGUAGAGGGGUCUUGGGAUAUGUAAUUUAACGAAGGCGAGAAAGGAGUAUAGAAGCUGUCGUUUAUGAGUUAGUACUGAGUGACAUAUUUCAGUCAGGGAGAACUUGGAACACGACCAUGUGGAAUUCAACGAAGGCGAGAAGAAAGUUGAGAAGCUGACUUUGUUUAUGAAUUAGUACUGAGUGAGGUUUAGUAAGGGAGAGCUAGGAACACGGCUAUGUGGAAUUCAACGAAGGAAACAAGAGUAUAGAAGCUGCCGUUGUUUGAGUUUAGUAAUGAGUGAAGUGACAUUGUUUAGUCAGGGAGAGCAUGGAAAGGGACACAAGUGAUUUAACUUAGGCGAGAAGAGAGAGUAUAGAAGCUGCCGUUUGUGUGUUAGACAUGAAUGAUGAUUAGUAAGAGGGAGCUUGGAACUCGACUAUGUGGAAUUGAGCGAAGGCGAGAAAGGAGUUAAGAAGCUGGCGUUGUUUGAGUUGUAUUGAGUGAGAUUAGUUUUGGGGAGUCUGAAACACGGCUUUAGGGAAAUAACGAAGGCGAGAAUGGAGUUAAGAAGCUGGCGUUGUUUGAGUUGUAUUGAGUGAGAUUAGUUUUUGGGAGUCUGAAACACGGCUUUAGGGAAAUAACGGAGGCGAGAAUGGAGUUAAGAAGCUGGCGUUGUUUGAGUUGUAUUGAGUGAGGUUUAUUUUGGGGAGUCUGGAACACGGCUUUAGGGAAAUAACGGAGGCGAGAAAGGAGAUAAGAAGCUGCAAAUGUUUGGGUAAUGAGUAAGGGUUAGUAAAGGGGCUAUUACACUGGGCAAAUUUUCCGUGGAUCUUCAGUCAAACCACGAUUUCCGCUAGCGUGGUUCUCAUUUGUUUGUUGUUAUUGCUGCUGAUGAAGAUGGUGAGUAAUACCGUCGACCUUCAAUGAAAUCUACCGUAGCUUUGGAAGAUCGUGGACACGUCAGAAAACCACGCAAAUAUGAAAACCACGCCAGAGGAAAUCGUGGUUUGACUGAAGAUCCACGGAAAAUUUGCCCAGUGUAAUAGCCCCUUAAGGGAGAGCUUGGAACACGGCUAUACAUGGAAAUCAACGAAGACGGGAAAAAGUUUUAUAAGUUGCCGUUGAGUUAGUAUUGAGUGAGGCUUGGUCAGGGUGAGGUUGGAACACUGGCACGUGGAAUUCAACGAGGACAAGAAGUUUAGAAGCUGGCGUUAUUUGAGUUAGUACAGAGUGACAUGUCUUAGUCAAAGAGAGCUUGAAAAUUGAGAGAAGAGAGAAGCUUCCGUUGUUAGUAGCUGCUGUUGAGCUAGUAAGGAGUGGCAUUGGGUAGUCUGGAGAGCUUGGAUGUGGAUUUUAACGGAGGCAAGAAGAGAGAGUUUAAAAGCUGGCGUUGAGUUAGUACUGAGUGAAAUCAUUUAGUAAGGGAGAGCUUGGAACAGGGCGAUGGAGUAUAGAAGCUGGCGUUGUUUUGAGUUAGUACCAAGUGACAUUAUCGUAGUCAGGGAGAGCUUGGAACACGGCCGAGGAAUGACGGUAAGGGAAGGGGAAACUGGCAUAUUAUGAUGUGUAGUAACGAUAUUAGUCUAGGCGGCUCUGAGGCUCAUUAGGGCGAGGAUGAGGAACGAGGGAGUGAGUGAGAGUCUGAGGGUGUUUGCAGACACUAUACAGAGCUUGUUAGUCAGGCUUGUUUACAUACAGGAGUGUGUGUGUGUAUGUGUGUGUGUGUGUGUGUGUGUGUGUUUGGAGAGAGAGAGAGAGAGAGAGAGAGAGAGAGAGAGAGAGAGAGAGAGAGAGAGAGAG